CAGUCGCCGCGGUAAUACGAGGGGGGCAAGCGUUGUUCGGAAUUAUUGGGCGUAAAGGGUGCGUAGGCGGUUUCGUAAGUCUGAUGUGAAAUCUAUGGGCUCAACCCAUAGUCUGCAUCGGAAACUGCGAGGCUUGAGAGUGGGAGAGGUGAGUGGAAUUUCCGGUGUAGCGGUGAAAUGCGUAGAUAUCGGAAGGAACACCUGUGGCGAAAGCGGCUCACUGGACCAUUUCUGACGCUGAUGCACGAAAGCUAGGGGAGCAAACAGGAUUAGAUACCCGGGUAGUCCCUGUCUCUUAUAC
rnacentral:rRNA from 1 species